CUCUAGCCCUGGGUGCAGCGGCAUCCUUUUUUGCUGGGGUUCAGCAAAAAAGAUACAGCGAAAAACAGGAACCUUG
rnacentral:sRNA from 1 species